rnacentral:lncRNA from 1 species
UCAACAAUCCAUAUUAUCUCAAAAUAUCUUCACCAUCUCUAAGAUCAAUUAAUUUAAAAAUAACUGUGUAAAUUAUUAAAGAACAAGAAUACGACACAUAGGAAUCAAGAAAUGUCAUCAAUUCAGUAACAACAACCAUGCAUGUACCAAGAUUACACUACGCAAACAAGUUAGCACCUAGAAACGUAACUAGUGUGUCCUUACUACAAAGUAGUCCCUCUUCACUUUUAUCAAACAUCACAUAUAUAACCAUGGGGAUAGUCAAAU